rnacentral:rRNA from 1 species
CGCAUCUGUGCAUGCAGCAUAUCAAUAAGCGGAGGAAAAGAAACUAACAAGGAUUCCCCUAGUAACGGCGAGUGAAGCGGGAAGAGCUCAAAUUUGAAAUCUUAAAGGGUUUCCCUUUACGAAUUGUAGUUUAAAGAAGUGUUUUCUGUUGAGGUUUUGGUAAAAGUUCUUUGGAAUAGGACAUCAUAGAGGGUGAGAAUCCCGUAUUUGACCUUUACUUUCAACUUUGUGAUACACUUUCAAAGAGUCGGAUUGUUUGGGAAUGCAGUCCAAAAUGGGUGGUAAAUUUCAUCUAAGGCUAAAUAUUGGCGAGAGACCGAUAGCGAACAAGUACCGUGAGGGAAAGAUGAAAAGAACCUUGAAAAGAGAGUUAAACAGUACGUGAAGUUGUCAAAAGGGAAGCGUUUGACACCAGUGUUGUUUUUCUGAAAAUCAAUUAAAGAACUGUUUAUGCUAAGCUGUUUAGACUUUAUCAGCUAUCUGUUUAGUUUUGAGCUUUUCUUUAAUGCACUUUUCAGUUAACAAGUCAACAUCAAUUUCUUUUGCUGUAAAAAAGCUUGAGGAAGGUGGCUUGAGAUUCGUCUUAAGUGUUUAUAGCCUCUUGCCUAUGCAGUCGGAGAGAUUGAGGUCUGCAGCGUAGAUCCUUCGGGGCUAAAUGCAUUUGUGCUAAGUUAUAGCAUUUUAUAGACAACUUGUUGACUAUGAUUUGUCUUGUAGCUUACUCGCUUAUGUUAUUUUACCUACGCUUAGGAUGUUGAGUCGUAGAGCACGCAG